ensembl:lncRNA
UGUCGCUCUGUUGAUGCUCAGAGGCUGUGAGACCAUCCUGAUCUCGCUAGGCCACAUUCUGUGUGUUCAAUCUGGCCUCCAUUCUGUUGGAAGUCUUUCUAGCCGUGUUCAAAGGACAACCAAUGGGCACUAGGGGGCAGAGUUUCAGUUCAUGAUGUAGAAAGGAGUUUAACAGCCAGCAGAAGAAUGAAGAAUGAAAAAAAUAAAAUAAAACAGAGUAUUCAAACAAAUUAUAUCCAACAGAAUCAGAUGAAAGACGAUGUUAAAAGGUAUAAUAAUUCUGCCCAGGAGUGGUUGCAUAAUUGAUUAAGACUUUUACAUUUUGGGUGAAUUAAUAUUUUAACUACUUUCAAGUUUUAUAAAAUGGAAACAUUUUCGUGGUUCCCAUUCUAUGUAUUCCUCCUCGAACCAGGCGCUUUCCCUGUCAGUUAGGAUUCAAUUACUCCUACUAAUAAUAAUAAGAACAAAGUUCUCCUGUCCUUAAAGCUCCCGCAAACUGCCAUCAGGCCAGCAGAGAGCUUAAUGAAGCCCCUCACUCUGCCAUCAGGCCAGCAGAGAGCUUAAUGAAGCCCCUCACUCUGCCAUCAGGCCAGCAGAGAGCUUAAUGAAGCCCCUCACUCUGCCAUCAGGCCAGCAGAGAGCUUAAUGAAGCCCCUCACUCUGCCAUCAGGCCAGCAGAGAGCUUAAUGAAGCCCCUCACUCUGCCACCAGGCCAGCAGAGAGCUUAAUGAAGCCCCUCACUCUGCCACCAGGCCAGCAGAGAGCUUAAUGAAGCCCCUCACUCUGCCAUCAGGCCAGCAGAGAGCUUAAUGAAGCCCCUCACUCUGCCAUCAGGCCAGCAGAGAGCUUAAUGAAGCCCCUCACUCUGCCAUCAGGCCAGCAGAGAGCUUAAUGAAGCCCCUCACUCUGCCACCAGGCCAGCAGAGAGCUUAAUGAAGCCCCUCACUCUGCCAUCAGGCCAGCAGAGAGCUUAAUGAAGCCCCUCACUCUGCCACCAGGCCAGCAGAGAGCUUAAUGAAGCCCCUCACUCUGCCACCAGGCCAGCAGAGAGCUUAAUGAAGCCCCUCACUCUGCCAUCAGGCCAGCCGCUGCUUCUGCUUUAAUAAC